GGGCUCAAUUUCAGUUUCAGCCAUGAUCAAUUGCAAGCCCAAAUGUAAUUCUGUACGUUUAUCCGCCGCCGCCGGCGGCGAACUGUAAAAAGUAAUUGAAUUAUCGACAAAAUUUAAGUUCGAAGUUGAAAUUGACCUUGUUUCCAUCACAGUCUGAAUGAACUCGUAAGAGUAUCAUGUGUAUGAACUUGGAGUGGAGAAACCCUUUGAAUCAACCUCUCACAAUGGCUCUAAAUUAAUAAUUGGAAAUCAAUUUCUCCAUUGAGUUCCUGAUUUUCACUUCCUCGCACUUUCCCAAUUUCAUCUAUUUUACGACUGAGUUCAGGACUUUAUAAAGUAAGCAUGAAGGGUCACGAAACCAAGAUGCCAAGAAUGGAAGACAUUCUUAACCUUCCAGUGCAAGAUCCUCCUUGUGCAGAGUUUUCUGCUGCUGAUAUAAAAUGGGUAAAAGUUGAAGGUGGUCGCCAAGGUGGGGAUGAUAUUGCUCUAAUUCCUUUUGCUAGAGUGGAUGAUUUUGUGAAAGGAGAAUCAUCCAAUGCAGAAUGCCCAGCUAGCUUCCGCAUUGAGUCAAGGAGGAAAAGAUCUGAAGGGAGCAUCAGUAAACCAAGGGUUGAUGGCUAUCUUGAAUAUACAUUAUACUGGUGUUCGUAUGGUCCUGAAGACUACCGGGAUAGUGAGUCCAGCAAUGCAGAUGGCCCAAACAUCAAACCUCCAACUGGGAAAGGGAGUAGGCCAGGGAGACGGCACAUGAUGAGAGGUUGCCUUUGCCAUUUUACUGUGAAGCGCUUGUAUACCCGCCCUCUCCUUGCUCUAAUUAUUUAUAAUCAAAGAAACCAUGUCGACAAAACAGGGGCCCCAUGUCAUGGGUUGCUUGAUAGGGAUGCCUUAGGGACAAGAGCUAUGUAUGCACCCCGAAUCUCAGAGGAUUUACGCCAGAAAGUGAUGUCUAUGCUUUAUGUUGGAAUAUCUUUGGACACUGUGAUUCAACAUCACAUGGAAUUAGUGCGGGGGCAUGGUGGCCCCCACAACCGUGAUGAUUUUCUCACUCGAAAUGAUGUUCGUAACAUUGAAAGAGUCAUUCGAAAUACUUCUCAUGAAUUACAUGCAGAUGAUUUAUGUGGUGUAAGAAUGUGGGUGCAGCGGCAUCAGAAGAAUGUUUUUUUCUUCCAAGAUUACUCUGCUUCAGACCCAUUUAUAUUGGGGAUACAAACAGACUGGCAGCUGCAGCAGAUGCUUCAUUAUGGAAAUAAUGGUUUGAUAGCCUCCCAUUCAACUUUUGGCUUUAAGAAACUUAAGUAUCCCCUGUCUACUUUAGUCGUUUUUGACUCAUCCCAAAAUGCAAUUCCAGUUGCCUGGAUCAUUAUUUCCUCAUUUGUUGGUCAAUAUAUCCAUAAAUGGAUUGGUCCCCUUGCUGAAAGAAUUCGAACCAAGGACCCUAGAUGGCGACUUAAUGCCUUCUUAGUGGAUGACCCUUCUUUUGGUAUUUCUACAAUAAGAGAGAAUUUUCAAUGUCGGAUCCUACUAUGUGUCUGGCGUGUUCGUCGUGCUUGGAUAAGAAACCUUAUAAAGAAAUGCUGCAAUCUUGAUGUGCAACAAGAGAUGUUUAAGCACUUGGGUUGGAUUUUGUAUUCCUCCAGAAGUGGGCCAAAUGGCAUGGAGACAGUUGAAGAAUUCAUGCAAGUUUUUGUGGAUCAAUGUGCCUUUAUGGAUUAUUUUAAGAGCAGAUGGUUACCAUAUAUAGAUACGUGGGUUAAUAGUAUACGUUCUCUCCCCGUGGCCAGUCCCGAGCCCCUUGCUGCAAUUGAGUCCUAUCACCUUCGGUUGAAAUCCAAGCUCAUUAAUGAGAGAAAUGCAAAUUAUUGGUCAAGAGUUGACUGGUUGAUCCACGUCUUGACCACUGAAUUUCACUCCUUAUAUUGGUUAGAUCAAUAUACUACAGAGACUGGUUAUUUUGCAAAUCUGAGGGAUGACUCUUUCUCAACAAAUGCUUGGUAUCAAGCUCUGCAUAUCCCGGAUGUCAAUGUAGUAUUAGAUGAGCAAAAUCUCCAAUUUGCAAAAGUCAUUUCUCAAGCUGAUAGAACUGUGGCAUAUACAAUUUGGAACCCUGGUUCAGAAUUCUCACUCUGUGAUUGCACCUGGUCAAGGCUGGGAAAUGUCUGCAAGCAUGUCAUCAAGUUGGCAAUUGUAUGUAAAAGUCGGCAGGUUGCAAGGCCAUUAUUGGCAGCUCAAAUUUAUAGGCAGACAUUGCUUAACCUUCUUCAGAACCCCCCAGAUGAUCCUCUAGUCCUUGAGCAUGCUAUUCUACAUGUAACACGCUUGCAGCAGGAUAUAAAAGGUUUGGAAGAAUUGUCUAACAGUGGGGUGCUCCAGCCAUUACCAUUUGAGGUGAACCCUCAAAUGGCAGUCAAUCUCCAGCUGUUCCCCCGUAUUCAUUGAUUGGGCCAUUGAAAAUGUGCUUAAAUAUGCCUUUGAACCAAUCUAUUCUGCUUGUGGAACCAAAGUUCUGAUGAGGUUCUGAAGUUCUGUUCUUUGAAUCAUUGGACCUGGAAAAGCCAAAAGAGUGUUGCAUUCUAAUAGUCUGCAGCUUCAGGCUUUUUAACCAGAGAUGAAAUCUCAAAUGGCAGACAAUCUACUGUUUAGCUUGCAUCUUCAUUUAUUCACAUGCUGAAGGUAAUUAACUAUUUCUGCGGAGAUUGCAGCUUUACUGCCUGUAGGACAGUCGUUUUUGCUGUGGUUGCAAAGAUUUGUUUUUUUCCGCUCGACAUCUCACAUGAGAAUGAAUUAGAUUUUGCACCUUCUUACCUGAAGAAGCCAAAUAUUUUAUCAUGAUGAAAUAUGGCAUCUCUGCCUAUGGAGUGAAUGGAAAAUGGAGGAUCCAUAAUUCUCAGCUUUCUGAUGAUUGAGUCCAUAAAGCAUGUUUGCUGAUUAUUUAGACCUUGCUGAGCUUUGCAGACUUCAGGCUUAUAUUGAGUCCAUAAAGCAUGUUUGCUGAUUUAAAAAACCUUGCUAAGCUAGCAAAGUAUUUUUCUGCGGGAAUUCUAUAUGUAGUCCAAUGGAUCUUUAAUUCUGAUGCAAUCCCAACAAUCAACCAGUUAACACACUCUUAGAUCUACUCCAAAGCAACAACCCACAAGAUUAGAUUCAAACAAUUCUUUGUUACUCACUGCAGACCUUGCACUCAACUAACAUAAUGAUAGAAACUUACAAAAGAAGAGACUAAGAACAAUAAUCUGGCAGAUUUGGGAGUGCCAGUGCUCUCCCAGAAAGGCAGAAGCUUGGGUCCUAACAAAUUAUUAAUUACCCCAUUUUUUAUUAUAGUCCUAUAUUCAAUGUUUUGGUAGAAGUUAACUGUAACUUUUAACGGAUGUCUACCAUAGCUUGUUGUAUUGAAUGUGAACAAUUAUAAAUUAUACUGGAAAUUUUCAGACCA